rnacentral:rRNA from 1 species
UACGGGGGGGGCAAGCGUUGUUCGGAAUUACUGGGCGUAAAGGGCUCGUAGGCGGCUAACUAAGUCAGACGUGAAAUCCCCAGGCUUAACCUGGGAACUGCGUCUGAUACUGGAUGGCUUGAAUUCGGGAGAGGGAUGCAGAAUUCCAGGUGUAGCGGUGAAAUGCGUAGAUAUCUGGAGGAAUACCGGUGGCGAAGGCGGCAUCCUGGACCGAGAUUGACGCUGAUGAGCGAAAGCUAGGGGAGCAAACGGG